GCUGGGCCUGGUGGCGGGCGCCUGUAAUCCCAGCUACUCAGGAGGCUGAGGCAGGAGAAUUGCUUGAAUCCAGGAGAUCAAGGCUGCAGCGAGCCAUGAUCGUACCACUGCACUCCAGCCUGGGCAACAGAGCAAGACCCUGUCUCAA
rnacentral:SRP_RNA from 1 species